GAUGAACGCUGGCGGCGUGCCUAAUACAUGCAAGUCGAGCGAAUGGAUUAAGAGCUUGCUCUUAUGAAGUUAGCGGCGGACGGGUGAGUAACACGUGGGUAACCUGCCCAUAAGACUGGGAUAACUCCGGGAAACCGGGGCUAAUACCGGAUAACAUUUUGAACCGCAUGGCUCGAAAUUGAAAGGCGGCUUCGGCUGUCACUUAUGGAUGGACCCGCGUCGCAUUAGCUAGUUGGUGAGGUAACGGCUCACCAAGGCAACGAUGCGUAGCCGACCUGAGAGGGUGAUCGGCCACACUGGGACUGAGACACGGCCCAGACCCCUACGGGAGGCAGCAGUAGGGAAUCUUCCGCAAUGGACGAAAGUCUGACGGAGCAACGCCGCGUGAGUGAUGAAGGCUUUCGGGUCGUAAAACUCUGUUGUUAGGGAAGAACAGUGCUAGUUGAAUAAGCUGGCACCUUGACGGUACCUAACCAGAAAGCCACGGCUAACUACGUGCCAGCAGCCGCCGUAA
rnacentral:rRNA from 1 species